UCCCUAAUGGCUUAGCAGUAAAGCCUCUGCCUGCAAUGUGGGAGACCCAGAUUUGAUCCCUGGGUUGGGAA
rnacentral:tRNA from 1 species